rnacentral:lncRNA from 1 species
UCAUGUCAGGGAAACAUGGAAAGGAAGGGAGGUGAAAAGAGACAAUAGGAAAACCGUAGGCUGUGACGGGAAAAAAUGAAACAGAUGAGUGAGAAGAAAAGUCCAAGAGCCAGGAUGACGGCGCAGUGAUGGCUCACUUUGCGUUGCUGUUCCGUCCACUGUUCCACUGACUGUGAACUCUGUCAGAGUAGGGAGAUUUUUUUGAAACUCAUAAACUUUCAAGAACAUGAGAGGAGAACAGCAGCACAGUCUGGGAGUCUGAGCAACAGAUGGACGAGUGGUAACUGCUUUAGCAGAUUUGGGAAGGCUGAAUCCCCAGCUGGUGGUUGAGAAAAUGGAAAAUCAACUCCAUGUACGCAGCUGAAUCCUCAAAACACGCAGG